rnacentral:rRNA from 1 species
GACGAACGCUGGCGGCGUGCUUAACACAUGCAAGUCGAACGGAAAGGCCCUGCUUUUGUGGGGUGCUCGAGUGGCGAACGGGUGAGUGACACGUGAGUAACCUGCCCUUGACUUUGUGAUAACUUCAGGGAACUGGGGCUAAUACCGGAUAGGAGCUCCUGCUGCAUGUGGGGGGUUGGAAAAUUUCGGCGGUUGGGGAUGGAAUAGCGGCUUAUGCGCUUGUUGGUGGGGUUGUGGUGUUCCAGGCCUUUGACGGGUAGGCGGCCUGAGAGGGUGACCGGCCACAUUGGGACUGCGAUACGGCCCAGACGGCUACGGGAGGCAGCAGUGGGGAACAUUGCACAAUGGGCGGAAGCCUGAUGCAGCAACGCUGCGUGCGGGAUGACGGCUUUCGGGUUGUAAACCGCUUUCGCCUGUGACGAAGCGGGAGUGACGGUAAUGGGUAAAGAAGCACCGGCUAACUACGUG